UGCAGUGUUGUAGACUUAGUACUAUUGUGGUUGUGGGUGUUGUUGUUGUGUGUUGGUGGUGUGUUGUUGUGGUGUGGUUGGUUGGGGUGUGUUUGGGUGCCAGCUCAAGUGCGGUUAACCUCUUGUGGUUGGUGUAUAUUUGUACAUCCUACUGCAAGCGGUGCUCUUGAAUGGUGCUCAUGUGCUUCUGCUGCAUUGUGUAUGUUGUACUUCAUUUGUACAUCAUCACACAUUAGCAGCAUAUACUUUGAAGCAUAUGAUCGCUGUAGCCUUGCUACUAGCUUCGACACUGCCUGCGUCGACCUUAGUAAGUCUGUUGUGACUUGUUGUCCCACAGUAUGCUAAGUGGCAGCAUGACUAUGCGCGAUACAUGUGUCAGCGCUAGUUUUUU
rnacentral:rRNA from 1 species